rnacentral:ncRNA from 1 species
CUAGCACGUGCACGACUCAGGGGCUGUCCUGAAAGCCCGCGGAGCAAUGAAGGUGAGGGCUGACAUGCAUCAGCUGAGGUGAGAUCCUGGGGUGCAUAGAUCAAGAAGCCCCAGGUGCACCACUGGCCCAUCUCACCCGCACUGCCUGGCCGAGGAGGUGGAGCGUGAACAUCCAUGCUAGAACCCAAAAGAUGGUGAACCGUGCCUGGGCAGGGUGAAGCCAGACCAAAUUUUGGUGGAGGUCCAUAGCGGUCCUGACAUGAAAACCAGUCUUCCCACCUGGGUCUAGGGGAGAAAGACUUGUCGAACCAUCUAGUAGCUGA